CCCUUCGGGGGUACACGAGUGGCGAACGGGUGAGUAACACGUGAGCAACCUGCCCUUGACUCUGGGAUAACAGUUGGAAACAGCUGCUAAUACCGGAUACGACCCUGGACGACAUCAUCUAGGGUGGAAAGCGCUUUAGCGGUCAAGGAUGGGCUCGCGGCCUAUCAGCUUGUUGGUGAGGUAACGGCUCACCAAGGCUUCGACGGGUAGCCGGCCUGAGAGGGCGACCGGCCACACUGGGACUGAGAUACGGCCCAGACUCCUACGGGAGGCAGCAGUGGGGAAUAUUGCACAAUGGGCGCAAGCCUGAUGCAGCAACGCCGCGUGCGGGAUGACGGCCUUCGGGUUGUAAACCGCUUUCAGUUCCGACGAAGCGCAAGUGACGGUAGGAACAGAAGAAGGACCGGCCAACUACGUGCCAGCAGCCGCGGUGAUACGUAGGGUCCGAGCGUUGUCCGGAAUUAUUGGGCGUAAAGGGCUUGUAGGCGGUUUGCUGCGUCGGAAGUGAAAACUCAGGGCUUAACCCUGAGCCUGCUUCCGAUACGGGCAAACUAGAGGGAUGCAGGGGAGAAUGGAAUUCCUGGUGGAGCGGUGGAAUGCGCAGAUAUCAGGAGGAACACCGGUGGCGAAGGCGGUUCUCUGGGCAUUUCCUGACGCUGAGAAGCGAAAGCGUGGGGAGCAAACAGGCUUAGAUACCCUGGUAGUCCACGCCGUAAACGGUGGGCACUAGGUGUGGGGAACAUUCC
rnacentral:rRNA from 1 species